GACGAACGCUGGCGGCGUGCCUAAUACAUGCAAGUCGAACGCUUCUUUUUCCACCGGAGCUUGCUCCACCGGAAAAAGAGGAGUGGCGAACGGGUGAGUAACACGUGGGUAACCUGCCCAUCAGAAGGGGAUAACACUUGGAAACAGGUGCUAAUACCGUAUAACAAUCGAAACCGCAUGGUUUUGAUUUGAAAGGCGCUUUCGGGUGUCGCUGAUGGAUGGACCCGCGGUGCAUUAGCUAGUUGGUGAGGUAACGGCUCACCAAGGCGACGAUGCAUAGCCGACCUGAGAGGGUGAUCGGCCACAUUGGGACUGAGACACGGCCCAAACUCCUACGGGAGGCAGCAGUAGGGAAUCUUCGGCAAUGGACGAAAGUCUGACCGAGCAACGCCGCGUGAGUGAAGAAGGUUUUCGGAUCGUAAAACUCUGUUGUUAGAGAAGAACAAGGAUGAGAGUAACUGUUCAUCCCUUGACGGUAUCUAACCAGAAAGCCACGGCUAACUACGUGCCAGCAGCCGCGGUAAUACGUAGGUGGCAAGCGUUGUCCGGAUUUAUUGGGCGUAAAGCGAGCGCAGGCGGUUUCUUAAGUCUGAUGUGAAAGCCCCCGGCUCAACCGGGGAGGGUCAUUGGAAACUGGGAGACUUGAGUGCAGAAGAGGAGAGUGGAAUUCCAUGUGUAGCGGUGAAAUGCGUAGAUAUAUGGAGGAACACCAGUGGCGAAGGCGGCUCUCUGGUCUGUAACUGACGCUGAGGCUCGAAAGCGUGGGGAGCAAACAGGAUUAGAUACCCUGGUAGUCCACGCCGUAAACGAUGAGUGCUAAGUGUUGGAGGGUUUCCGCCCUUCAGUGCUGCAGCUAACGCAUUAAGCACUCCGCCUGGGGAGUACGACCGCAAGGUUGAAACUCAAAGGAAUUGACGGGGGCCCGCACAAGCGGUGGAGCAUGUGGUUUAAUUCGAAGCAACGCGAAGAACCUUACCAGGUCUUGACAUCCUUUGACCACUCUAGAGAUAGAGCUUCCCCUUCGGGGGCAAAGUGACAGGUGGUGCAUGGUUGUCGUCAGCUCGUGUCGUGAGAUGUUGGGUUAAGUCCCGCAACGAGCGCAACCCUUAUUGUUAGUUGCCAUCAUUUAGUUGGGCACUCUAGCAAGACUGCCGGUGACAAACCGGAGGAAGGUGGGGAUGACGUCAAAUCAUCAUGCCCCUUAUGACCUGGGCUACACACGUGCUACAAUGGGAAGUACAACGAGUCGCAAAGUCGCGAGGCUAAGCUAAUCUCUUAAAGCUUCUCUCAGUUCGGAUUGUAGGCUGCAACUCGCCUACAUGAAGCCGGAAUCGCUAGUAAUCGCGGAUCAGCACGCCGCGGUGAAUACGUUCCCGGGCCUUGUACACACCGCCCGUCACACCACGAGAGUUUGUAACACCCGAAGUCGGUGAGGUAACCUUUUGGAGCCAGCCGCCUAAGGUGGGAUAGAUGAUUGGGGUGAAG
rnacentral:rRNA from 7 species